rnacentral:lncRNA from 1 species
CCUUGGUCCGGACUGGUCAAUGCCGGCCAAUUUAAAAUCCACAGGUUUUGACAACUCAUUGUGAAAACCUUCGGUUUGAUGAACGUAAGUCCCUGGGAGCUUUUAACUUCCAUAAAGUACUGAGAAAAUACAUAUUUAACUUUCAAAAUAUCUUAAAAAAGCCUUAAUAAAAACUUUACACCCGGACCGAAAAACAAUUUACAAAAUAGUUUUAGCCUCCGGUAAACAGAUAUUGGGUUUCCAUUAUAGUAUUUCGCAAUAUUGCAUCAGCCGGUUACGACUAGUUUUAUCAAUACACAUAACAUUCUUUACUGUUUUAAGUAUUAUAACGAAAAAAGUGGAAUUUAAACAACUGAAAUGUAUUCAAGAAUUCUACAAAGAUAUUAUUAGCCAGACGAAUUACAACGUGAAAAAUCCAAGACUUUAUAAAGACAACGAACGUUUAACACAAAAUAUAUCAUCGGAAGACUUCAA